CCUACGGGAUGCAGCAGUGGGGGAUAUUGCACAAUGGGGGAAACCCUGAUGCAGCGACGCCGCGUGGGUGAAGAAGCGCCUCGGCGCGUAAAGCCCUGUCAGCAGGGAAGAAAAUGACGGUACCUGAAGAAGAAGCCCCGGCUAACUACGUGCCAGCAGCCGCCGUAAUACGUAGGGGGCAAGCGUUAUCCGGGUUUACUGGGUGUAAAGGGGGCGCAGACGGCGGUGCAAGCCAGGAGUGAAAGCCCGGGGCCCAACCCCGGGACUGCUCUUGGAACUGCGUGGCUAGAGUGCAGGAGGGGCAGGCGGAAUUCCUGGUGUAGCGGUGAAAUGCGUAGAUAUCAGGAGGAACACCGGUGGCGAAGGCGGCCUGCUGGCCUGCAACUGACGUUGAGGCCCGAAAGCGUGGGGAGCAAACAGGAUUAGAUACCCCUGUAGUC
rnacentral:rRNA from 1 species